ACUCCUACGGGAGGCAGCAGUGGGGAAUCUUGGACAAUGGGCGCAAGCCUGAUCCAGCCAUGCCGCGUGAGUGAUGAAGGCCCUAGGGUCGUAAAGCUCUUUCGCCAGGGAUGAUAAUGACAGUACCUGGUAAAGAAACCCCGGCUAACUCCGUGCCAGCAGCCGCGGUAAUACGGAGGGGGUUAGCGUUGUUCGGAAUUACUGGGGCGUAAAGCGCGCGUAGGCGGACUGGAAAGUUGGGGGUGAAAUCCCGGGGGCUCAACCCCGGAACUGCCUCCAAAACUCCCAGUCUUGAGUUCGAGAGAGGUGAGUGGAAUUCCGAGUGUAGAGGUGAAAUUCGUAGAUAUUCGGAGGAACACCAGUGGCGAAGGCGGCUCACUGGCUCGAUACUGACGCUGAGGUGCGAAAGUGUGGGGAGCAAACAGGAUUAGAUACCCUGGUAGGCUACCC
rnacentral:rRNA from 1 species